GUGGUUGGGAGCCGAGGUUUUGUUUGCCGGUGAUUUCGAGUUGAGGACAAAAAGGACUCUGUGAGGCGUUUGGGUUAUGGAAUUGCGUUUUGAGGAUAUGGGCGCAGAAGUUAUGAAGAGCUUAUUUAAUUGUUGUUGUGAUG